rnacentral:rRNA from 1 species
UACGUAGGGUGCAAGCGUUAAUCGGAAUUACUGGGCGUAAAGCGUGCGCAGGCGGUUUUGUAAGACUGUCGUGAAAUCCCCGGGCUUAACCUGGGAAUGGCGAUGGUGACUGCAAGGCUAGAGUUUGGCAGAGGGGGGGAGAAUUCCACGUGUAGCAGUGAAAUGCGUAGAGAUGUGGAGGAACACCGAUGGCGAAGGCAGCCCCCUGGGUCAAGACUGACGCUCAUGCACGAAAGCGUGGGGAGCAAACAGG